ACCUUAAGAGGAUUAGAUUUGUUGAUCCAUCCCUCAUUCGUAUAAGUCACAUUAAUCAAAUGGACACCUAGCUAAAAGAAUGGAGGUUUUGUUUGGACAUUAUAUUAUUUUUGGCACCGAUUGAUGCAUGACUCAUUGGCUCUUAGAAUUUCAGAGCAAGUAGUCACCUUGUUUUGGGAUGGCAGAUUUCACUCUGAUACAAUUUUGGUGCAUUGCUGGUAGCAUCAAAUGACUACUUAGUAGAAUUGUGGGGACUAGAACCAGCUUUCUUUUAUUUGCAUUCAUAUAUUUUCCCCAAAACAGCAUAUUGCUUUGGUUCAGAUUUAUGUAUUUCGUAAAUAAGAGUGAAAUCUAAAGGAACAAGUAUAUUUGUUAAAAGGGCGAUGGAUCUAGAAGCUAAAGCUUCCAUAACAUCCUUAUCCUCAAUUUUAAUAAUCCCAAAACCCCAAAAGAUAAUUUUUAUUAAUGUUCCUCUCAGCUGCUGCAGAGAUACAAUUAACCAUGAAAAAAGCCCUGAAAUUAAUUAAUUUUUUUUUUUUUGGAUGUGGAAGUGAAGUGCAUUUUUAAAAUUUUGCCCUAUAUAGUAGAAGAUAAAAAGAACAUUUUUAUGUUAGACCAAAGGGGAUACAGAUUUCAAUCUCAUAAUAGUUUCUUUCUUUCUGAAUUCUAGUGUGGAACUAGAGUAGGUAAUAAAUUCUAGGCCACGAUGGCCACUAGUGCCCAAAUAUCCCUCUGUCAUGGCGCCAUCAAGUGUUAAGGGCUUGUCCAAGUAGGAGCCCAGGAGCAGCAGAACCGGGGACUUCAAUUCGACCUUGGCCCUUUGUUGCAGAAGUCUCAGAAGUUUAUAUCUUGAGAAUUGACACUUUACCUUCCAGUGGCCUUGGAGAGGAAGGACAGCAGGGUUACCUCACCAGCCCAGCUCCAGCUCCCCUUUACCCCCCGCCCAGGUACCUGUCUGACUGCAGCAGGAGAUUCUAGCACAGAGGGUGCCAGCAAGCAGGAGUGCUCAGAGGGUUUCUCAUUUGAAAGGUAUUUACUGUUAGGGGAGAGUGGGAGGAGAGGAGGGGCAGGCAUGGGUGGGCAGAGCAUAGGUACUAGGAAUCUGCAAACCACAGACAAGAAGCAAGUGAAAGUAAAGAUCUGAGGGUUUGCUGUAAGCUGCAUUAGCAGGAGGAGCACUGGGCCUGUGGGAGUGGACACAUGUGUCUCCUUCCAGGGGCUCCUGCCACAGCCUCAGCCCCAGACAUCUCAAGGCUCAGUGUGUGUGUCUGUCUGCCAGUGCACCCCAGGGGGGCCUCAUGGUGAGGCUUCCUCUGCCUGGGUUGCUCCUGGCAUGGCCUCCAGCUUUUCCCCUCAACCCUGCAGCCCACUGGAAGACAUAAGCUAAAGCUGGUGGGGACCUCCACUCUGGGUACCGUCCCUGCCCAUCCCCUCUGGCAGUCGCUUUCCUAACUGACGGGUAUUGGUGAAGUGCUCAGGAUGUUCUUGGUGGGCGUAUUUCCUCCCGGUGGGGGUGGCGUAAAAACCACAGCCUUUUAGAAGCCUCUGUUUCUUUCCUUGACUGGCACUUUAAAAGGUGUGUGCUCUACCGUCAUCACUAGGAGAGGGAGGCUCUGUGAUCCUCCUUUAUUCUCCCAUCUUUCCACCGGGGUCUAAUACAUUUAACAAGCCUAUGAAAAGGCUGCCUACCUCAUGCCAUUUUCUGACUGUUAUUCAAAGUGAAGGACAUCUGAAAAAAGACAUUACAUUACCUACAGCCCAGGGUGGAGGGGGGAGGGAAUAAUUUAGUACAAGGAAUUAGGAGGCAUUUCUUCUUUUUUGACAGGCUGAAAGGCUUCCUAGGUGAGAUUUCCAUCGCUGGUUGAAGGAAGGGAAAAGGCUGAGUGGGAGGUGCAAGGGCUGCUAAUCUGAAAAUUACCGGAAUUUCCUUAAUUUCCACUCUUUAGAAAAUGUCUGCUGCACAAGGAGAGGGUGGUGAGAAUCCAGUGAGAUAAUCCUCAUGGAAGGGUUUGGAGAACCUUAUAACACUUCACCAGAGUGAGGGGCAAUGACAAUUCGAGUCCACGAUAAAAAAAUAAAAUAAAAUAAAAAAAGGCCCUUUCUUGUC